rnacentral:rRNA from 1 species
GCCGGUGGCUCAAGCGACGAGGACCCACCCGUUCCCAUCUCGAACACGGAAGUUAAGCUCGUCAGCAGCGAUGGUACUUGGACCCAACCCGGUCCUGGGAGAGUAGCCCGUUGCCGGAC